UACGUAGGGUGCAAGCGUUAAUCGGAAUUACUGGGCGUAAAGCGUGCGCAGGCGGUUUUGUAAGUCUGUCGUGAAAGCCCCGGGCUCAACCUGGGAAUUGCGAUGGAGACUGCAAGGCUUGAAUCUGGCAGAGGGGGGGUAGAAUUCCACGUGUAGCAGUGAAAUGCGUAGAGAUGCGGAGGAACACCGAUGGCGAAGGCAGCCCCCUGGGCUGACACUGACGCCUCAGGCACGAAAGCGUGGGGAGCAAACAGG
rnacentral:rRNA from 1 species